AUUGAACGCUGGCGGCAUGCCUUACACAUGCAAGUCGAACGGCAGCACGGGAGCAAUCCUGGUGGCGAGUGGCGAACGGGUGAGUAAAGUAUCGGAACGUGCCCAGUCGUGGGGGAUAACGUAGCGAAAGUUACGCUAAUACCGCAUACGAUCUAUGGAUGAAAGCGGGGGAUCGCGAGACCUCGCGCGAUUGGAGCGGCCGAUAUCAGAUUAGGUAGUUGGUGGGGUAAAGGCUCACCAAGCCGACGAUCUGUAGCUGGUCUGAGAGGACGACCAGCCACACUGGGACUGAGACACGGCCCAGACUCCUACGGGAGGCAGCAGUGGGGAAUUUUGGACAAUGGGCGAAAGCCUGAUCCAGCCAUGCCGCGUGCAGGAUGAAGGCCUUCGGGUUGUAAACUGCUUUUGUACGGAACGAAAAGGUUUGGCCUAAUAAGCUGAGCUCAUGACGGUACCGUAAGAAUAAGCACCGGCUAACUACGUGCCAGCAGCCGCGGUAA
rnacentral:rRNA from 1 species